CCUACGGGAGGCAGCAGUGAGGAAUAUUGGUCAAUGGACGCAAGUCUGAACCAGCCAUGCCGCGUGCAGGAAGACGGCUCUAUGAGUUGUAAACUGCUUUUGUACGAGGGUAAACGCAGAUACGCGUAUCUGUCUGAAAGUAUCGUACGAAUAAGGAUCGGCUAACUCCGUGCCAGCAGCCGCGGUAAUACGGAGGAUUCAAGCGUUAUCCGGAUUUAUUGGGUUUAAAGGGUGCGUAGGCGGUCGGAUAAGUUAGAGGUGAAAUCCCGAGGCUCAACUUCGGAAUUGCCAUUGAUACUGCCUUGCUGGAAUGCGGAUGCCGUGGGAGGAAUGUGUGGUGUAGCGGUGAAAUGCAUAGAUAUCACACAGAACACCGAUUGCGAAGGCAUCUCACGAAUCCGCGAUUGACGCUGAUGCACGAAAGCGUGGGUAUCAAACAGGAUUAGAUACCCUUGUAGUC
rnacentral:rRNA from 1 species